rnacentral:rRNA from 1 species
UGUAUCCUACGGGAGGCAGCAGUGGGGAAUAUCGCACAAUGGGGGAAACCCUGAUGCAGCAACGCCGCGUGAGUGAAGAAGUAUUUCGGUAUGUAAAGCUCUAUCAGCAGGGAAGAAGAUGACGGUACCUGAUUAAGAAGCCCCGGCUAACUACGUGCCAGCAGCCGCGGUAAUACGUAGGGGGCAAGCGUUAUCCGGAUUUACUGGGGGUAAAGGGAGCGCAGACGGCAGUGCAAGUCUGGAGUGAAAGCCCGGGGCCCAACCCCGGAACUGCUCUGGAAACUGUGCGGCGAGAGGACUGGAGG